AUUGAACGCUGGCGGCAGGCCUAACACAUGCAAGUCGAAUGGUAACAGGAAACAGCUUGCUGUUUCGCUGACGAGUGGCGGACGGGUGAGUAAUGUCUGGGAAACUGCCUGAUGGAGGGGGAUAACUACUGGAAACGGUAGCUAAUACCGCAUAACGUCGCAAGACCAAAGAGGGGGACCUUCGGGCCUCUUGCCAUCAGAUGUGCCCAGAUGGGAUUAGCUAGUAGGUGGGGUAACGGCUCACCUAGGCGACGAUCCCUAGCUGGUCUGAGAGGAUGACCAGCCACACUGGAACUGAGACACGGUCCAGACUCCUACGGGAGGCAGCAGUGGGGAAUAUUGCACAAUGGGCGCAAGCCUGAUGCAGCCAUGCCGCGUGUAUGAAGAAGGCCUUCGGGUUGUAAAGUACUUUCAGCGGGGAGGAAGGGAGUAAAGUUAAUACCUUUGCUCAUUGACGUUACCCGCAGAAGAAGCACCGGCUAACUCCGG
rnacentral:rRNA from 1 species